AAAAGGGGGGCAACUCCCUGAGUACAGCGGCGCACGGGUGAGUAACACGUGGGUAAUCUGCCCUGAAGUGGGGAAUAACACCGGGAAACCGGUGCUAAUACCGCAUAUGAUCGCUGGGUCUGCGGAUCUUGUGAUUAAAGGAGCAAUUCGCUUUAGGAGGAGCCCGCGGCUGAUUAGCUAGUUGGUGAGGUAAUGGCUCACCAAGGCAACGAUCAGUAGCCGGUCUGAGAGGACGGUCGGCCACACUGGAACUGAGACACGGUCCAGACUCCUACGGGAGGCAGCAGUGGGGAAUUUUUGGCAAUGGGGGCAACCCUGACCAAGCAACGCCGCGUGGGUGAUGAAGUCUCUUGGGACGUAAAACCCUUUCGACGGGGAAGAAACCGCAAGGUUGACGGUACCCGUAGAAGAAGCCCCGGCUAACUCCGUGCCAGCAGCCGCGGUAAUACGGGGGGGGCAAGCGUUGUUCGGAAUUACUGGGCGUAAAGGGCGCGUAGGCGGUUCGCUAAGUUGGAUGUGAAAACUCUGGGCUCAACCCAGAGCCUGCAUCCAAAACUGGCGGGCUAGAGUUCUGGAGGGGGUAGCGGAAUUCCUGGUGUAGCGGUGAAAUGCGUAGAUAUCAGGAGGAACACCGGUGGCGAAGGCGGCUACCUGGACAGAAACUGACGCUGAGGCGCGAAAGCUAGGGGAGCAAACAGGAUUAGAUACCCUGGUAGUCCUAGCCCUAAACGAUGGAUACUUGGUGUGACGGGGAUUGAAUCCCGUCGUGCCGAAGCUAACGCAUUAAGUAUCCCGCCUGGGGAGUACGGUCGCAAGGCUGAAACUC
rnacentral:rRNA from 1 species